ACGGCGGACGGGUGAGUAACGCGUGGGUAACCUACCCUGUACACACGGAUAACAUACCGAAAGGUAUGCUAAUACGGGAUAAUAUAUUUGAGAGGCAUCUCUUAAAUAUCAAGGGUGAGCCAGUACAGGAUGGACCCGCGUCUGAUUAGCUAGUUGGUAAGGUAACGGCUUACCAAGGCGACGAUCAGUAGCCGACCUGAGAGGGUGAUCGGCCACAUUGGAACUGAGACACGGUCCAA
rnacentral:rRNA from 1 species